GUUUAGGAUAUAGGGCUGAACAUUUUCUCUCAAAACUUUGCCAUCAGAUGAGGUGAGGUUUUUUUGUUUGUGUUUUGUUUUGUUUUGUUUUUGUUAACCACAGAAUUAAAAUACUGGUCAAGGUUGAAAGGAAAUGUUUUAAAUUUUCAGAGUUGGAGAAAUGGCUCUGUAGUUAAGAGCACUGACUACUCUUCCAGAGAAUGUGUGCUCAAUUCCCAGCAGCUGUGGUAAUCCCAGUUCCAUGGCAUCUGACACCUCUUCUUGCUUCCUCAGGCACUGAAUGAAUGCAGUGCACAGACAUAGAUGCAAAAUCCUGUGCACACUUAAAAAAAAAAAAAAAAAAAAAAGCAGCUGACAUGCUGCUCAGCAGGUAAAGGCAUUUGACUUUAAAGUGUAAUCCCCAGGACACACGUAAAAAAAAGAACAAACUCCCUCAGAUUGUCCUCUGACUUCCACAGACAUACCAUGGCACAUGAGCUCACACAUAUUACAAAAUAAGUAAAUUGUAAUUUCAAAAAGAAAAAUGUUUAGACCCCCUUUCACCCAUCUCGUUUGGUGACUGGGGUAUGGCAAAUAGAAAUAAACCUAGGUGGGAAAAUCCUGCCUAGGAAUGUCAGCCAAGCUGUAGUAUACAUAUUUUAUGAGCUAUAGAGAGACUGUCCCCAAGUACUAGUCUGGGCUCUUGAGCACAGUGUUUGGUCCUCUUCUGAAAGUAACUAAUGCCCUGGUUGUAGGACUGUCCUGUUCUGUAAAUUCUUCUGAUCCAGGUUCCCAGGUGGGUGUAUAGUUAUCUGAGUAUUGGGACUGUGAAUUGAGUUAUUACUCUUGGGUGCAGUGAAUUGCCUGAAUUAAGGAGUCAAGGGUCUUGGCUCUUGAAUAAAUAAAUACUCACUUAGAAAAGUAAACUUAGCUAAUGAUGAAUUCACUGGCCCUUGUUCAGAUCUGAAGAACCCUGCUCUGUUCAGGGAAGAACUCAAACGAUCCCUUCUCAGUUCACAGAUUUCCCGGGUGUUCUGUGUCCCUUAAGGAUCCAGCCUUAGUUUUGGUCCUUGGUGUUGUCAAGCUUGGCUUCCAUAAAUGCCUGAUUUACCUGUGCAUCCUGGAGAUUAGCCACACUAUGACCUGUUUCUCUGUGGCCUCAAACUGGCCAAAAAGGAACCAUACCCAGCACUGCCAGGGGUACCAAGUACUGUAGGUUUCUCCCUUUAGCCGCCACCUAUUUGAUAAUGGUAUACACACAGUGCAAAGGGAGACUUGGGACAACUUAACCUCCUCCCCAUUUCCUAACUUAUCCCACUGCUCUCCUGCCUGCCUCCUGGACUCAGGGUGGGAGACCCCUAGGAUCUCCUCUACCCAGUUUGCUCUGGGGACCUUUGCAUGUAACUUCUUGCUUGAACCUUCUUCCCAUACUGUGUAAUUCACCUUUGCCUGUGCUGAAAUGUUCCAUGUUCAGUGAAGCCUUUCCUGUGUAGAAUUAAGCUCUGUAGGACUCCUUCUCUAAUUCGUAUUCCUCCAUCACUGUACCUCUCUGUUUAUAGUUCCUCUCCUCAAUCUGUUAAGGGAAAUGUCUCCCACCCAGGUUGCCUUGGAAAGUGUCUGACACAUAGCAGACAGUGUUUAUUGGCUGAAUAAAAUCAGGUACUGCCUGAAUUUCAGUUGUCUUCCUGUGAGCUUACCAGCUCUGAAGGCACAGAACCAUGGUGUAUGCAUUCUUCCCUCGAAAUACAGUUUUGAAUGGAGAGUUGAAUCCUCAAGUGUACAGUCAUUGGAUUCGUUCUAAAAUAAGCUAGUAGAACAAAGACUUCAUGAGGUCACACUGCCCUUUAAGGUCCUUGAAUAAAUAGCCUGUGAGCUUUGAGAAAUGUAGAGAGACUCCAGCCCAAGGAGACAUUUCAUUUUCUUUCCCUUUUUCUUUCCAGCCCUGUUUUCCUAGGACUUCAGCCUUUUGUUCGUGGCACUGUGAAAUCCAUGUAAACUUAAGUGCAGAGGACCCCACCCACUCACAUGUUUGGCUGUGUUACUGUUUUCGAGACAGGGUCUGAUACAGCCCAGGACAUCCUCAGACAUUCUAUAUAGUUGAGACUGGCCCUGAACUUCUGAUCCUCCUGCCUCUACCUUCCAAAUACUUAUACACGUGGACCACCAUCCUGGGCAACCAGUGUACUUUGAACAUUUUGGAGCAUGUGGCAAGAGAGCUGGAGGAGGGCAGGCAUGUUGGGUAUUUGUCAGGGCAGCUGAGGCCUGGCUCUGCUCUAGUAACCAGAAUAGCUACAUCAUUCCUGAGCCCACUCCCCAACCUGCUGCUUCUGCUCUCUCUGCCAUAGUUUCCAGUAGUUUACAUGGCUCCUGCUUAAUAAGUGCUUGACACCCAAAUGAUCGCUAGCAGAGACUUCAGAUUCAGUUAUCUCUGAUGCUUUUCUAGCCAGAAAGGUGAGAUAUCUGAAGAGAAAUGUACACAUGCCAAUGACAACUCCAAAUGUGACCACAUUCCCAUUUCCCAAAUCCAGAGCUAUUGUGCCAACUGAUAGGUGAACAUUCCAGGGUCCCAUGUCUACUUCAAGUAAUAGGAAUUUGGUUUAAGCUUCUGCUGUGUAGUAUACUGCAUAUAAAAUACUAGUAGCCUUGCCUUCCACUUUGAUUCCCUGUGUUUUGUUCCCCGAUUGCUGUGUUUUGUUUCUUCCUGGGUGCUUUUGCUGACAUCUGUGCACGGAUCCACAGGGCAGGCUAUUGAUAAGUUCCCACUAUGACCCUGGACUAGACACAUUCCUCAGGUUUUGUGUCUCACUGUAUAGUCCUGGUUUGCCUGGAAAAGUGGAGCAAACUGGCCUUGAAUUUACAGAGUUCAAUACCAUUUUUAAAAGUGUAUGCUAACAUAUACAGUGUUUUGUUUUUAAAUUGCUCUUGUAAAAGCAGUUGACAGCAACUUAAAGAGUUGUUGAGGUCUGGCUCAGGUCUGCUAUGUUUUGUGGUAUUUUCUUUUCUUUUCUUUUAGUAAUUGCUGUGAUUUCUACAAAGUAUCUAGUAUUAGCAGUGACAAAUCUCUGUAGCUUAUCUUCCCCCAAGCAGAAAUUUCCCUAGAAUAAUAGAGGAAGUGAUCUAUUACAUGGGAGAUCAGUAUCUUAAAGAUGAUGUCACCUCAUUUUUGUGAUAGAAAGUUUGGAGGGUGAGCACUUAGUGAGCUGUGUGAGAGAAAGGAGCCCAGAGAUUGUUUAGUUCUGGGUAGAUCAAAACCAUCUGUAAUUCCUUUCAGUGAUUUGAUGCCUACCUCUGGCCUCUGCAGGCACUGGAACACUCAUGGUGUGAACUGACACACAAAUGCAUACACAUAAAAAAUAAAAAUCUUUUUUUUUCCGUUUUUUUUUUUUUUUUUUUUUUGAGACAGGUUUCUCUGUGUAGUCCUGGCUGUCCUGGAACUCACUCUGUAGACCAGGCUGGCCUUGAACUCAGAAAUCUACCUGCCUCUGCCUCCCAGGUGCUAGGAUUAAAGGCGUGCAUUACUGCUGCCCAGC
rnacentral:lncRNA from 1 species